GCUCGUGCUUCCGGUGAGCGGGUUGGGCGGCGGUGUCAGGACGGGCGUCACUCCUUCCCGGGGUCGGAAAUGUGACGGCGCCGCACCAGAGACUAAAAUCAUAUGGUGUCCCCCAACAGUGGGGUUGAAGAUGACUGACGGAGCGGUGGGAUGAGAGCCCGAUCCUGUGUCAAAGCUUGUCGUAUUCAGCUCCUCUUGAAACUGGCAGCAGGAGCUGCAGAUCGCUGAUCACCGAGGCUGGGAGACGGUUUGACCUUCAGGUCACUAAGGAGGAAGCAGUGUGAACAGGCCGACUUACUGAUACUCCAGGACCUUGUGUUUUCUUGUGUCUCGAUGCUGAAUCUGAAACUCCGAUGAAAGGAUCUGCUCAGGCUAAAUAGGACAGAGGGCUCGGUGCCCGAUCACGUGUUGUGUGAGGAGCCAUUGACAACAUUAGUGUGCGAUGGCGCUGCGGAGAACGGAUGGAACGUCUAUCAUCCAGGCUCUGGCGAUGACCGUGGCUGAGAUCCCAGUGUUUCUGUACUCAACGUUC